AAAUUGCAGCAGCAGUAAGGUAGAAAACCAGAACUUGUUGCAAUUCACGGGGAGAUCAAAGGAUGAUCCGUGGUGGUGGAGAUGAUGGCGGAAUUCGGCGAUGAUCUUUUAAGCAAUUGUGGGAAUUACUUUGGGCGGUUGUCGAGGGCUCAUGGAUGGCAGUGGAAGGGCAACGAGAUGCCAAGAACGCUGCUCUGAUACCAGGUGUUAGAACCCUUACAGAUUCUAAACUUGGG
rnacentral:lncRNA from 1 species